rnacentral:rRNA from 1 species
GAUGAACGCUGGCGGCGUGCCUAAUACAUGCAAGUCGAGCGAACAGACGAGGAGCUUGCUCCUCUCACGUUUGCGGCGGACGGGUGAGUAACAUGUGGAUAAUCUACUUAUAAGACUGGGAUAAUCUCGGGAAACCGGAGCUAACACCGUAUAAUAUCCUGAUCCGCAUGGUUCAAUAGUGAAAGUCGGUUUUGGUGUAACUUAUAGAUGGAUCCGCGCUGCAUUAGAUAGUUGGUAAGGUAACGGCUUAUCACGGCGACGAUGCGUAGCCGACGUGAGAGGGUGAUAGGCCACACGGGAACUGAGACACGGUCCAGACUCCUACGGUAGGCAGCAGAAGGGAAUCUUCGGCAAUAGUCGAGAGCUUGACGGAGCAACGCCGCGUGAGUGAUGAAGGUCUUCGGAUCGUAAAACUCUGUUAUUAGUGAAGAACAAAUGUGUAAGUAACUAUGCACGUCUUGACGGUACCUAAUCAGAAAGCCACGGCUAACUACGUG